AGUUGUAGUGUUUGAAAAUGCAUUGGAUAUGGCCUUAACCUUUAGUGACUGAGUCUGCUUCUUCGUCAGUGACCUUCAAGUACUUGCUUAUGUAAUUACAUUAUUCGUCAAGUUAUGACUAUUUGUACUGAAAAAGGGUCGCAUUAUUCGUUGUCACCAAAGGUGAAAAGUUGAUGUUUGACGAUCUUGUAGGGGGCACAUAUGGUGAUAUUGUUCAAGCUCAUCACGUAGUAAGUGUUAACCUCUUUUGGGUCUGUUUUGGCGGUGAUGCUAGGUGACUGAUCCUCCGUCGGGAACAUCAUUUCCAUGUGCAGAGUGGACACAACAACUCCAAGCCUAUUCAUUCUUUUUCGUCUGAUUAAAAUGUUGUAUGAUGUGCCUGCCUCCGUUAUGAGGUAUCGUACCAUUACAAUGCAACGAGCUUCUGGCCUUCCAACAAUGUCGAGCAAAUCUAUACAGCCUUUGGUGUGGACCCUUUCAUUGGCAAAACCGAG
rnacentral:lncRNA from 1 species